rnacentral:rRNA from 1 species
UACGUAGGGUGCGAGCGUUGUCCGGAAUUAUUGGGCGUAAAGAGCUCGUAGGCGGUCUGUCGCGUCGAUCGUGAAAACUUGGGGCUUAACCCUGAGCUUGCGGUUGAUACGGGCAUGACUGGAGUUCGGCAGGGGAGACUGGAAUUCCUGGUGUAGCGGUGAAAUGCGCAGAUAUCAGGAGGAACACCGGUGGCGAAGGCGGGUCUCUGGGCCUUACCUGACGCUGAGGAGCGAAAGCGUGGGGAGCGAACAGG